CUAUCGAGUAGCGAAGAGGAUGAAAUUACUGCCAGACCUCCACCAAAAGUCAGUAAAAAGGUUUAUAAACAAUGCUAUAUGCAUCUCACGUCCGUAAAGAAGGAAGAAAAGAAGGAGUUUACACGCACGUGAUGGGAUACAUUUAGAAACAGCAUCAAACAGUGGCUUGGUUUACAGGGUGAGAGUCCGAGAAUAGCAGAAACAUACAAACAUUGUCUAGAAAUCGAGUUUGACAAUAUUCCCGAAGACGCUGGGUUUCACUCCACUUGCUACAUUUCAUUGGCGUUUCAUUGACAAAAAGCGCUUGGAUGCAGCCGAGAAACGGGUCACACGGCGUCCUGAAGCUGGAGAUGCUCACAAAGGCCAGUCUGUGUCACGGGUAGUAGUAUCUCAACAACUUAUUGUCCGACAAAGAAACUUAGGUCCAGUACGGGCCUGCCAGUAGCUUGUUCGGGUCCUGUGCUUUCUGCCUUCUGCAUUAUUUGCAAGAAAACGGAGAAGUACAUUACUGUGGCAGGCAAACGACAAAAGGACCAUCUUUCACAAGCAGAAACGUUGUCAGCAGCCAGUUGCUGAAAGCAGCUGAGAUGAAGGAAGACACUAGCAUUCUUGUGCCCUUAUACUGAUGUGGCAGUGAUUGCAUUAAGUCUGCAGCCAGAUUUACCAUUUACCAGUAGAUUGUAUUUUUUCACUGGGGUUGGCAACAAAACAAGGAUCAUUGACUUAUCUAAGGUGUCAUCAGCUCUUGGCACCAGUGUAUGUUUGGCACUUAUUGGUAUCCAUACCUUCUCUGGCUGUGACUCUACAAGUGCCUUUUAUGGCAAAGAAAAAAAAAUUAUUUUCUGUUGCUUGUGAGAAAGAGGAAUACUUGACUGCAUUUAGAAAUCUGGGUAGCAGUUUUAACUUGGACCAGUCUACCUUUGAAGUACUUUGCAAAUAUGUGUGUCACCUAUAUGGCCAGCCAUGUGCCGAAAGUGUGAACGAUGCAAGAUACAAAGCAUUCUGCAUGGCAUCGUCAGCUUUGCCAGAACGAUCCAUGCCUCCAACAAGUGAUGCCCUGUACCAACACUGCAAAAGGGCAAACUACCAAGCAGCCAUAAUGAGACAUUCUCUUAAAGGUAUAAUGUGUGCCCCUUCACCUGUUGGCAAUGGAUGGCACCUCGAGGAUGGGGAGUUAACAGUGACCUGGAUGACUAGAAAUCUGGUUCCCGAAGGUGUGUUGCAGGUUGUCCACUGCAGUUGCAAACAAAGCAAAUGUGAGACUGGAAGAUGUUCCUGUAUGUCUGCAAAAUUGUCUUGUACAGAUUUAUGUCAGUGCCACAAUUGUGCAAAUGUUUCCCAGGAAUUUUAAAAAUAUAAAUAUUAAAAUAUAUUAAUAUUAAAAUAUAGUAUUAUUAUAAAAUAUAAUAUUUUAAUAUAAUAUUAAAAACCUGGAGACAUGGUGCCAGUUCAACAAUCUCCUCCUGAACGUCAGCAAGACUAUGGGGCUGAUAGUGAACUUUAGCAUAAAGCAGGAGAGGAAUUACCAGCCCUUCACUAUCGACGGGACGCCGGUGGAGAGAGUGGACAGUUUCUGGUACCUAGGUGUUUACAUCACGCAGGACCUGACAUGGUCCUGUCACGUUAACACACUGGUGAAGAAGGCCCAACAGCGUCUUUAUCAUCUCAGACGCCUGAAGGACUUUAAACUGCCCUCAAAGGUGCUAAAGACAUUCUACACCUGCACCAUUGAGAGCAUCCUGAUGGGAAGAAUCACAGCCUGGUUUGGGAACAGCACCAAACAGGACAGGCAAGCUCUCUAGAGGGUGGUGUGAUCAGCCGAGCGUACCAUCUGCACCAAGCUUCCUGACCUGGACACCAUAUACAGCAAGUGGUGCUGGACCAAAGCCAGGAAGAUUAUGAAGGACCUCAGCCAUCCCAACAAUGGACUCUUCUCUGUGUUGCGGUCAGGGAAACGUUUCCGUUCCUUGAAGGCGAACACAGAGAGAAUGAGGAGAAGCUUCUUCCCGCAGGCCAUUCGGGCCCUCCACCAGAACACCUAGAAUCUGGACUUUCUGGACAUACUCCCACACAACAUGACAUUCUACCUCAGCUGAUUGCUGCACAUGCAAUAAUUGCACUACUUUGUACUCUGCACUACUCUGUACACACAAUAACACUCUCACUGUACAUCUUUCCUGUACAUCUUAUGUGCACACUGCACCGUCACUUUACUCCCUGUUCAAUUGGACAUUUAUACUUGCCUAUAGACAUCUACAUAUAUAUUUAUAUAUUUAUCUUACAUACACUAUAUUGCCAAAAGUAUUCGCUCACCCAUCCAAAUAAUCAGAAUCAGGUGUUCCAAUCACUUCCAUGGCCACAGGUGUAUAAAAUCAAGCACCUAGGCAUGCAGACUGUUUUUACAAACAUUUGUGAAAGAAUGGGUCGCUCUCAGGAGCUCAGUGAAUUCCAGCGUGGAACUGUGAUAGGAUGCCACCGGUGCAACAAAUCCAGUCGUGAAAUUUCCUCGCUCCUAAAUAUUCCACAGUCAACUGUCAGCUGUAUUAUAAGAACGUGGAAGUGUUAGGGAACGACAGCAACUCAGCCACGAAGUGGUAGGCCACGUAAACUGACGGAGCGGGGUCAGCGGAUGCUGAGGCGCAUAGUGCGAAGAGGUCGCCAACUUUCUGCAGAGUCAAUCGCUACAGACCUCCAAACUUCAUGUGGCCUUCAGAUUAGCUCAAGAACAGUGCGCAGAGAGCUUCAUGGAAUGGGUUUCCAUGGCCGAGCAGCUGCAUCCAAGCCAUACAUCACCAAGUGCAAUGCAAAGCGUCGGAUGCAGUGGUGUAAAGCACGCCGCCACUGGACUCUAGAACAGUGGAGACGCAUUCUCUGGAGUGACGAAUCGCGCUUCUCCAUCUGGCAAUCUGAUGGACGAGUCUGGGUUUGGCGGUUGCCAGGAGAACGGUACUUGUCUGACUGCAUUGUGCCAAGUGUAAAGUUUGGUGGAGGGGGGAUUAUGGUGUGGGGUUGUUUUUCAGGAGCUGGGCUUGGCCCCUUAGUUCCAGUGAAAGGAACUCUGAAUGCUUCAGCAUACCAAGACAUUUUGGACAAUUCCAUGCUCCCAACUUUGUGGGAACAGUUUGGAGCUGGCCCCUUCCUCUUCCAACAUGACUGUGCACCAGUGCACAAAGCAAGGUCCAUAAAGACAUGGAUGACAGAGUCUGGUGUGGAUGAACUUGACUGGCCUGCACAGAGUCCUGACCUCAACCCGAUAGAACACCUUUGGGAUGAAUUAGAGCAGAGACUGAGAGCCAGGCCUUCUCGUCCAACAUCAGUGUGUGACCUCACAAAUGCGCUUCUGGAAGAAUGGUCAAAAAUUCCCAUAAACACACUCCUAAACCUUGUGGACAGCCUUCCCAGAAGAGUUGAAGCUGUUAUAGCUGCAAAGGGUGGACCGACGUCAUGUUGAACCCUAUGGAUUAGGAAUGGGAUGUCACUUAAGUUCAUAUGCGAGUCAAGGCAGGUGAGCGAAUACUUUUGGCAAUAUAGUGUAUAUAUAUAUAUAUAUAUAUAUAGACAUAGACAUAUAUUUAUAUAGACAUAUAUUUGCAUAUGCAUAUCUGAUCUGACACUUGACUUUCCACACUGUCCACACUUUAAAUUUAAAAAUUUUCUGUUUUUUACUCUCUUUUUGUGUAAGACAGUCGUAAAAAGCAUUUCACUACAUGUCGUACUGUGUAUAAUUUCGUAUGUGACCAAUAAAAUUUGAAUUUGAAUUUGAAACAGAGGAAAGAACUAUGUGGGAUGAUGGCUCUGAUGACAGUGAUAGGGAUGUUAGUGAUGAGGAAUGUUGAGCUGGGUCAUAUUUCAGGUUCAUUGGAGCAGUAAUGAAUCUGCUGUAAAAUUGUAAAAUUUUGGCAUUAUUGAAAAAUCAGGGCAGAAUUUUGAUUCAUUUCACUCAACUUGGCCCAAAGAGUGUUUUUAUUCUUUACUUUUUUCUGAUUACUCAGCGCCUACUGAAAAUUUUGAUGUAUAAAACAUCACUUUUUUUUUUUAAAUAAAAAAUUUCUAUGUUCAAUUUUAUUUGAUGCCAAUCUGUGAAGUUGAAUUCCGUUUUGUACAAAUUUGCCCCAUUUCAUGGUCUUUAUUCACACUUCCGUAGACUAAUGUACCAAUACUUGUCUCAAAUGUGUAGGCACGUGUAAAAAUGUGAGUUUGCAUGUAUUUUGUGUUGCUGUGAGGCAUAAUAAUAAAGUUACAGGCUAAAUUAGCAGCAUAAGAUUUUCGUUUUUUAUGAAUUCACAAUUUUAUACAUUUAUGCAUCCUGACAAAAAAUCUAUCCAGUCUAUCCAGAAAUUCAUUUAAAAAGUACUGCCCAGGAGUGGGAACAAAAAUCGCUUUCUAGCCACUUUUUCUUAGUUCCUUAUGGCUUAUAUCUGGAGUGAAGUCAUAGGCGGGGUUUUUUGCCGACUGACCGCUACCAAGUUUGAAGAACCCACAAUUUAAAAGUCACGUGCAGUCACAUGACAGCAGUCAUGUGAAACAUCAUUUGAUUCUGCCUUGUGACAAAUCAAGUGGUUCAAACAAUAUGGAUUUUACUUUGAGACCUGGAUAUUUAAAAACAGGCAUUUUUCUGGUGAUUUUGUUAGAGCAGGAUAUUAUAAGGGCUUCUUGUGGCGUUUAGCUACCUGAUGACAUGAAAGAGCCAAAGCAGUCCUGUCCGCCUACCUUCGUCUUCCAAGUGUAAAAUAUUCAGCAGCACAUUCAGGCAUAGCGACAAGCUCUGGAGAAUUAUCUGACAAGCAGGUUCUAUUUAAAACAUUCUACAGGCGUCUGGAUUACUGCUAUAUGCUGAGAACUGAAAAUGAAAGCUUUGACCUUACUUUAGAAAUUACCUACUAAUCUAGAAAAUCCAGGAGAUUUUGUAAGCAAAAUAAUCCUUAUCAUACUAGGACAAAUGGUUAGUGUUAGUAUUUAGUAAUGUAGAAUAUAGGCCUACAUAAGGACAUAACACUAUUUGACUAGCAGAGACAGGCAGACAGAAAGGGGAAAUGUACCCAUUUUAUUGCUUUAUUUAGUGAUUGUGCAAUAUGUCAGGAUAGUGAAAAGUAAAAGAGAAACUCAAAUAUUUUAGGUGUUUUUCAGCAAUACUCUACUGCAUAGCUAUUGAAAGAAUUUUCUUGAUGAGCUGCAUUUUAGCUGUUUCUCUGAAAUGUAAUAGGAAAUCAAUGUCAAUGACUUUACAUGAAACUGUGUUGCUUAAUUAGUUUCAUUAUUAUGAAAGCCUCACUCACUGCACUUUGUUAAUUAGGAAGUCUACAAAUGCAGGAAGAGUAAAAACUUUCCUUAUUGUUAUCUAGUGAUUAGAUUUGCAGGAAGAGGUUAUCUAUCAUUCCUGGCCAGAUUAUUUCCGGGCAAUAUUCAGGAGAUAGAAGAGUCACUCAUUUCCUGUUUGUCUGCGAAAUAAAUAAAUAUAUAUGAUGGCAUAAAUAAAAAUGUACAUUGGCUGUUUGACAAACUGAUUUGUUCCUGAUAUUAUUUUUCUGUUAUAUCUCUGGUUUAUAUAUUUUUCUCUUCCCAUACAAAAUAACAUGUAGAACUGAGAUACAUUGGACACAAUUUUUACAAACAAAUUACAAACUUUUUAAUUUAAACACCACUAUACACAACAUUGUGAGCUACUAACAAGCCCAUUAAUGUGAGCCAGCCCUGGAUCUUACUGACAUUAAGAUAUUAGUCUACAUUAAGAUAAAAGUCUACUAUUUGAAAGAUUUAUAACAUUAGACACUUACAUUUGGUAGACGCCCUUAUUCAGAGCAACUGACAUUUUUAUCUCUUUUUUUUAUACAACUGAGCAAUUAAAGGUUAAUUGCCUUGCUCAAGGGCCCAGCAGUGGCAGUUAAGUGGACCUGAGAUUCAAACUCACCACCUUCCAAUUAGUAGUCCCUUAUCCACUAAGCUACCACUUAACCUCUCAACUUAAGAUUUUAGGUUUAUGGGGUAGGAAAAAGAAUAAAUACUUUUCAGACAGUUAAUA